AUGGCGGCCGGAGGUGCACCCAUGCCUCCCAUGAGAGAAGCAAAACUCAUGCCUCCCAUGGCGGCCAUAGCAUCGGAGGGUGCUCCAAAGCCACUCAUGCCUCCCAUGGCGGCCGGAGGUGCACCCAUGCCUCCCAUGGCGGCCAUAGCGUCGGAGGGUGCUCCAAAGCCACCCAUGCCUCCCAUGGCGGCCGGAGGUGCACCCAUGUCUCCCAUGCCUCCAAAGCCACCAAUGCCUCCCAUGGUGCCGAGGCCACCGCCUCCCAUGGCGCCGAGGCCACCCAUGCCUCCCAUGGCGCCGAGGCCACCGCCUCCCAUGGCGCCGAAGCCACCCAUGCCUCCCAUGGCGCCGAGGCCAUCGCCACCCAUUGCACGAACCAAGGCUCUUUUUCGGAUCAAGACUUCUUGUUGGGCAAGAUUGACAUACUCCUUUUGCGCCGCAUUGAGGUUAGAUGUGUCCAUGAAGAACAAGUGCUUCUCCCAUUCCAACAACUUAGCUCGCUCCUCGUUGCUCACUUUCCUCUCCUCCAAAGUCACCUUUCUCUCCUCGGCCGCCAUCCUUCUCUCCUCGGCCGCCAACCUCCUCUCCUCGGCCACGGCAUCUUGGUUCCUUGCCAUUUUCCUCACCUCAUUCGCUUCGACCCUUGCCUUCACAAUAGCUUCCAUAGCAUUUUUGAGCUCAUCAUCUCCUUUCUUCUUCUUCUUUUCGGUUUUGUCUUUCUUGCACCCAUCCGGUCGUUUUGGCUUCGAGUAUGAAACCGAGUUGGGUGUGGGGCUUCUCUUGCCGUCAUCACUUGAUGCAUCAUCCUCCUCAUCAUCAUCAUUCAUCUCAAUUGCUCGCUUCCGUUUGUUGCUCAAAUGCAAAUCCUCCAAACCAUCACGCUUCUUCCAUUUCUCAUCAUCCUUUAACACUUCAUAG
rnacentral:rRNA from 1 species